UCCGAGUUGACCCCGGCAGUCUCCUAUGAGUCCCCGGCAUUAUCCGCUGGCAACAUAGGACGAGGGUUGCGCUCGUUGCGGGACUUAACCCAACAUCUCACGACACGAGCUGACGACAGCCAUGCACCACCUGCACACCAGCCACAAGGGAACGCCUAUCUCUAGACGCGUCUAGUGCAUGUCAAACCCAGGUAAGGUUCUUCGCGUUGCAUCGAAUUAAUCCACAUGCUCCGCCGCUUGUGCGGGCCCCCGUCAAUUCCUUUGAGUUUCAGUCUUGCGACCGUACUCUCCAGGCGACGAACUUAACGCGUUAGCUUCGACACUGAGAGCCUAAUUGCUCCCAACGUCCAGUUCGCAUCGUUUAGGGCGUGGACUAC
rnacentral:misc_RNA from 1 species